CUCAGGACGAACGCUGGCGGCGUGCCUAAUACAUGCAAGUCGAACGAACUCUGGUAUUGAUUGGUGCUUGCAUCAUGAUUUACAUUUGAGUGAGUGGCGAACUGGUGAGUAACACGUGGGAAACCUGCCCAGAAGCGGGGGAUAACACCUGGAAACAGAUGCUAAUACCGCAUAACAACUUGGACCGCAUGGUCCGAGUUUGAAAGAUGGCUUCGGCUAUCACUUUUGGAUGGUCCCGCGGCGUAUUAGCUAGAUGGUGGGGUAACGGCUCACCAUGGCAAUGAUACGUAGCCGACCUGAGAGGGUAAUCGGCCACAUUGGGACUGAGACACGGCCCAAACUCCUACGGGAGGCAGCAGUAGGGAAUCUUCCACAAUGGACGAAAGUCUGAUGGAGCAACGCCGCGUGAGUGAAGAAGGGUUUCGGCUCGUAAAACUCUGUUGUUAAAGAAGAACAUAUCUGAGAGUAACUGUUCAGGUAUUGACGGUAUUUAACCAGAAAGCCACGGCUAACUACGUGCCAGCAGCCGCGGUAAUACGUAGGUGGCAAGCGUUGUCCGGAUUUAUUGGGCGUAAAGACGAGCGCAGGCGGUUUUUUAAGUCUGAUGUGAAAGCCUUCGGCUCAACCGAAGAAGUGCAUCGGAAACUGGGAAACUUGAGUGCAGAAGAGGACAGUGGAACUCCAUGUGUAGCGGUGAAAUGCGUAGAUAUAUGGAAGAACACCAGUGGCGAAGGCGGCUGUCUGGUCUGUAACUGACGCUGAGGCUCGAAAGUAUGGGUAGCAAACAGGAUUAGAUACCCUGGUAGUCCAUACCGUAAACGAUGAAUGCUAAGUGUUGGAGGGUUUCCGCCCUUCAGUGCUGCAGCUAACGCAUUAAGCAUUCCGCCUGGGGAGUACGGCCGCAAGGCUGAAACUCAAAGGAAUUGACGGGGGCCCGCACAAGCGGUGGAGCAUGUGGUUUAAUUCGAAGCUACGCGAAGAACCUUACCAGGUCUUGACAUACUAUGCAAAUCUAAGAGAUUAGACGUUCCCUUCGGGGACAUGGAUACAGGUGGUGCAUGGUUGUCGUCAGCUCGUGUCGUGAGAUGUUGGGUUAAGUCCCGCAACGAGCGCAACCCUUAUUAUCAGUUGCCAGCAUUAAGUUGGGCACUCUGGUGAGACUGCCGGUGACAAACCGGAGGAAGGUGGGGAUGACGUCAAAUCAUCAUGCCCCUUAUGACCUGGGCUACACACGUGCUACAAUGGAUGGUACAACGAGUUGCGAACUCGCGAGAGUAAGCUAAUCUCUUAAAGCCAUUCUCAGUUCGGAUUGUAGGCUGCAACUCGCCUACAUGAAGUCGGAAUCGCUAGUAAUCGCGGAUCAGCAUGCCGCGGUGGAAUACGUUCCCGGGCCUUGUACACACCGCCCGUCACACCAUGAGAGUUUGUAACACCCAAAGUCGGUGGGGUAACCUUUUAGGAACCAGCCGCCUAAGGUGGGACAGAUGAUUAGGGUGAAUC
rnacentral:rRNA from 1 species